GGAUAUGAGGGUGAUCUGGCUGCAACAUCUGUCACCCCAUUGACAGCCAGGGUUUGAUCUGACUGGCUAGGCUGGUGUCCCCUUCCUCCCUCACCACUCCAUGUGAGUCAGUCCCAAAACUGUGUGCUGGGUGGAAGAGGAAGGCCUUCCCCAAACAGAGACAGACAGGUCUUCUGUGGAGGGUAAACUUGCCCCCCCUGCUAGAACCUCUAAACAAGCUCUUAAGAGCCAUUUGUAGGAGAAUGAGAAAGUAGGGUAGUCAAGCUUCCAAGUCUCCAGACACAUCCAAAUGAGGCACUACAUGUGUCAGUCUGCCUUUCUUU
ensembl:misc_RNA 7SK 7SK RNA